rnacentral:lncRNA from 1 species
CCUCAAAGGGGAAUGUGUGAGUGAGCCAGGAAAUGAGUCGAACCAGGUCCCCCCAGAACAUUUGAUUGUAGUCCUGGGCAUCCAUCCAAAUCCCAGGGGCCUUUGCCCCAGAAGAGAUCAUGGCUUACUGGUGACGCUGAAUAGAGGUCAUGAGCACAGUGUGACGAAGAAGCCAGGCCAGGAGGAAACCCUGCAUUCAUGAAGUCACCCACAGUUCCAUCUACUCCAGCCAACACCAGGAUGCUUCACACCCAUGGACGUGAAGAGCUGCAGUCCUGUCACCCAAGGAACUGAACUGAGUAGCCAAUGGCUCCAUGCCACUGACAAUUUAUGGCGGAGGCAAGGAUUCUACUUGGACAUAGCAGGAGCAAUACUAAGCCAGUGCCACCUCCCAGUGAGGCCUCCCAUGGGCUCAGUCAAAGCACAGUAUCAUGGAGCCAAGUGGAGGACAGGCAGAGUCAGCCUGUCCUGUGAGUCCCAGUGGAUUCCCUGGGUGGCAAAGAACCAGGAACAAUCACCGAGCUUGCCUCUGGGAAAUCUGAACCAAGACAUCCAGGAACCUGGACAUGGAUUGAACUAUC